rnacentral:rRNA from 1 species
CAACUUUCAACAGUGGAUGUCUAGCCUCGCACCCCGAUGAAGAACGCUGCGAACUGCGAUACGUAAUGCGAAUUGCAGAAUUCAGUCAGUCAUCAAAAUUUUGAACGCAUAUUGCACUUCCGGGUUAGUCCUGGGAGUAUGUUUGUA